GCUAUUCAGAGAGAAAAAAGUUAGUAUCAAUACACAUUUGAAAGCUUCCCAGUACAUUUUCAUUUCACUAACAGUUUUAUAAAAAUUAAGAUAAAAAUCCUAUUUAGUUUAAUGGAUUUAUUCAUUUUAGAUAUUUUGUAUUAAAAACUGUCUCACAAAAGGUAGACUUUAGACUUGUCAGUAUCACAGCCAGGCAUGUCAUUAUUUCUCCAUCCCAUACCAGUAUUUAAUUUUGAGCAAGUUGUCACCUUAGUUUACAAGAGCUUUCCAAGGGAAGUAUAGUAAUGUAAUUUCAACAUACUCCCAAGAAAGUAGUAGACAUACACUGCAAAAAGCUGUAAUGUGCAGUUAGACAGAACAAUGUGUUAUUGUAAGAAUGCAGUAGUUUCAGGUUGUAGCCUGUUUCACAGACACACACACACACACUCUCUCUCCACAGUGUCUGGUCAAUACAUAGGCUACUUACCUUAACAAUAAAUGGUUAUUGUAGAGGGGACUAUAUAGAUUCAGCUAUGGUUGCUCACACUCUAGUUUAAGAAAUCCCCCAAGAUAACACGGGUCUGCUGUAUAACAUAAUUAUGCAUUCACAGAGAGGGCCAAUUCAAAUUUACUUUUUUUGCUAAACUAUUGCCUAAAUCUGCAUAGCAGUCUCCUUGGUUUGGGUUUAUCUUUCAGCCCCUCAUCUCCAUCCCUACCCACCAUUUUAGCUGCACUGCAUAAGGGUCAAAUGACCAGCUGGGACUGUAGAGCAUGGAGCAGUAAAAGAACUGAAGCACUGACUUAGAGAGAGAAGCCCCAGAGAAAUGGAGCUGUAUUCCUAAGACAUCUUAAGCAUCAUGUACCAGAUCUGGCACUCGGAUGAAUGAUUUUUAUGGAGAUCAGCAGUCCUCCAAAAUGUAGUUUUUUCACAAGUCUAAUCUUCAUUUUCUUCUAUGAUGAAUAACGUGUUAUGGACAACUACAGAUCAAACAGUUUUACAUAUGACAAGUCACAUGAACGAGGGGAAUGUACGUAGUCCACAGCUCUGGUAAUAACAAAGGUUUUUUAAUUUCUUGGGAAUGAAGUUUAAUAUGCAGGGAAAGACAUGCAUAGCUGUUGCUCAAGAAUAGGUUUUGAAAGUGUAUUAUGUAAUUUUUUUUACAUUAGAUGAAAUUUUAUUUACUUAUGUCUAUCAUAAGAACUACAGUUAGGCUGAGAAUUGAUGCCAUCUCUGAACUAAAUAUAGAUCCACGAACAAUAUAUCAAUUUGAGAUCCCUUAAAGCACCUUGGAUUUUCAGAAAGUGUUGAACAUUCAAUCACUGGAAAAGUCAGGCCUCUUUAAAAAAAAAGUCAAACUAGACACCCAAAAGUCACUCUUAAUUUUCGAAUAUCUGGGCCCUAAAGUUCUGAGCUGAAGGUACUUUAAGCCUGAAAUAUGCAUUUCACUCGAAGGGAAAAAAGGUUUAAAUGAAGUAUCUCAUAUAUUCUGUAUAUGAUUUGAUUUAAUCAAGUCAAGUAAGAGGCAAGCCUUUAUGAUGCGUCUUUUGGGGAUACCGUCUAAAAAAUCCACAAGUUUCAUUAUAGAGCAAGUUCUGCCUGUUUGCAUGUAAAUCACAGCAAAAAAUAAAAAUAAAGGUAAAUUGUUUGUGUUAAUGUUUAAGGUACUGUAAAAGAUUUAAUGAUCAACCUUUCAUUUCCAUCUUAAAAAAAAAAAAAAGAAAAAACAGACUAUUUUCUGUUAGAGUUGGUUUAUCGAGGCUUAAGGAAAUAUCACCUGAUUGGAAAAGCAAUCUUCUCAAAGCAUAAAGCAGGUCUCUUACAUCCCUACCACCUCAGCUGCCAAAUUGUAGUUAAAUUGAACUGUUUAGAUGGAAUGUAGGGGUUUAAAAAAAAAAAAAAAGUAAUUUUAUUGGGGUGGUGGAUGGGGAAGUCAUUCAACCCUGAACUUCAGCCAGCAAAAACCCAGCCAUCAAAGUUUUAAACACAAUCUAGGUUUCAGGGGUUUGGUUUUGGGGUUUUUUUGUGUGUGUUUAGUUUUUUAUUAAAGGAAGGGAGCAUUUGGGGUAGGUCAGGGAACAUUUUUCUGUACAUAUCACCUGUUACUUAGGUCUUAAACCUAAGCCAGGGAAGGUAUUUUAAUACAACUCAGGAGGCACAUAGCCCCAGUACCACCAGUUGAAUGUAUGGUUCCUGUACAGACUAUGUCAUGUCAAGUUUUCUGUUCCAAUCAAGUACUAACUGUAACUACAGAAGUGCCAUUCCAGAUCAUAUUGUCUGUAUUACUAUGCCUAGAAGAUAAACACACAAGUAUUAGUUCUUUAUAACCAUCACCACGCCCUGUGAUGUGCACAUGGUUUAGAUUUUAAUGGUAUUCAUAAGCUUAUUUCUGGUCUUACUCUUAGAGGAGUUCAGGAAGGAAGUACAGUUACUAGGGCCCUACCAAAUUCAGUCAUGAA